UUUAUAUUUCCUAUUUUAUAACUAAAGGAAUAGGGGGCACAGAGAAGAAGCAACUUGACUGAGCCAAAGGCCUUGCAGCUGAUUAGGGAUAGAGCUGGGGUGUUCUGACCCCUUGGCAAUUUUUCUUCCUCCAUACUGCUCUGAAGACUGUGGAAGGGAACUGCACUUGAACCUGGCGCCAAAGGAUUCCCAGCUGAUAAGUAACCAAAGGAAACAGCGUGGCUGAAGUCCAAUUAAAAGUUAAAAUCCCACUGGGCAAUCUCUCCUUAACUGACGACAGGAAUUGCUGUCACUGCCCUGUCUCGCCACUUUGCAAACAGCAGGGAUGUUAGCGAGAGCUCACGGUGAACAGCGAAUGCUUCCCAAGGGAGCGGUGAUUGCUUUGGCUGGAUUCUGCCGUGGCUUUUUUCUGGUGAUGAAGAGGCUGUAGUCAGCCAAUCAGGGGCGGUAACCAUUUUCUAAUAACCACCUCAGGCUUUUGGCACCAAAUUCUCUGGCACUGUCUGGGGAAGCUCUUUGUGCUACUUCAUGCUACUUGUCAAGUCAAGCUGUUUGUCUCAUUUUUCUGGGAAACUGGACGCUUCCCGUCAAAUCGCUCACCUCAGUGGGAUCCAGCCAGCAAAGUACUCCAAGAGGGUGCUGAUUGUCUGUGACAUGUUUUCAAAAAUGACCCCAGUUUGUAUGGCUUUCCUAUGGUCCCAUGUUGUGUGAAAUCAGGAUGUGGUCCUGAGUUAAUGACAUAAGGAAGCACUCUGAUGCUUGUAUUGCCUUCUUGGUUUUCUCGAACCUCACAUGGACUGGCUUCAUCCUGUGCGGGAGUCCAUAGCUCUGCACCUUCCCUCUCCACUUCCUGUGCAGGCCUUCCUCUGGUUUGUGGGCUGUUAGGCGUCAUCUUGUUCCUUCAAGGCUCACACUGAGCCGCUGGUCAGAGUUUUUGUGGGUGGUUUCUGCUGCCUGCUUAUCAUCCAACCCCAGUCUCCGGUGUUCCUUCCCAGUUUUUAAGCCUGCAAUAGCUCUUUCCCAGUUUGUCUAUAGCUUGCCCUUUCAACUCUCCCUCCUGCCUUCAUGGUAGGUAAGGAGGAGUUACCCUCCUUUUCCAAACCUUGAUUUUGCAAUACCGUCAUUUUUGCCGAAUUGUGUUUCUAAGACUAAUGUAAGUAUGUUAAACUUGGUAUCGGUUUGAUGACUUCGUCAAGAUUCCUUGCCAGGUUGUGUGUGUGUGUGUGUGUGUGUGUGUGUGUGUGUGUGUGUGUGAAAGAAUCUGCCUAAAAUCUUUGCUAAUCUAGUUUUCUCCUAAAUGCAGUUACACGUAAUGCCUCCUAAAACAAAUUCUCUACAUUUGUCAUUUGGCAGCCUCCUGCUGUCACUCUGGAGCAUUAAUAAGUCUGAAGAUAAGUCUUCAUAACAGAGGCAUUGCAUGUGGCCCUGAGGAUGUAAAGUUGAAUAAGGAUGUUCCUGCCUUUCAAAUGCCAAUAAUCCUUGGAGAAGAUAUGCAAACAUGUGAACACUAUACAAUAUGAUAUGCAUGCCCUUCAAGGUAACUGAGAAGGUUUAAGUACAAUCGAGUGGUCAGUUUCACUUGAGGGGAGGGCUGUAAUCAGGGAAGAUUUCCCAGGGAAAAGUUUGGUGCAGUGGGUAUAAACACUUUUCGGAGAGAUAAGGAAGAAUCAAGGCAUCUAAGACAGAGGGAAGACUGUGUACAAGGGCAGAGGGACCUGUGACGACAGAGUACAGGGAAGAAGCUACAGUCGGGCAGAACUAAAGCGUGGGGCACAUGAUGAAGUGCCUGUUAUUUGUCAUGGCAAUGGCAGUAGGAGUCUAAGUUUCCUCCAAACAGUUAACUUAUUCUUAUACCCUAAGAUAGACAUUAACAGAAGCUCACAGAACCAGAAAUCAAUGCACAUGUAAGUGACUUAAAAGGUAUUUUGUCCAGUGUAGUUGUUGACUUUGCCUGACCCAAAGGACUUGAGUUGGGAGCACAUAGGCCUAGAGUAGCUGACAGCCAUCUUGUGACACACGGGGCCUGAAAGCAGAGCCAGUUUAUAGGAACAUAAGAGAGAGAUGGGAGAAAAUUAGAUCCUGGUGACGUUAUUCAAGCCGCUGGAUUAAGCCACACCUGAAACAGGUGCAUUUCUAAAUUCUUCAGUUACAAGAGAUAAGUCAGUUUGCAUUUUUUGCUGAAGUCAGUUUGAUACAUAUAUAUAUAUAAUAUAUAUGUAUAAAUGUACAUAUAUAUGUACCUAUAAAUUAUAUGCAUGUAUAUAUUUUUGGUCAUUUGCAACCUAAUAGAUAUAUUUGGCCUCUUAAUUUACAGUUCAGGAGACUAAUUUUUAGUACGCUAAAGUGACUCACUAUCAAGUGGUUAGUCAAAAACUGAGACUAAAACUGAGGUCUCUUGACUCAGAGGCCAGAUUUAGGAAUAUCCAGCAUUUAAAAAGCAUAUGCUUGUGAAGACCUAAAUAUACAUGUAUCUAGAGAUCUGUUUUGAGGGAACCACAUAUUUGAGAGUGUGACUGAGUUUAGUUUUAAAAUGACAUUUCCAAGUGACAACAUUGCAGAAAGAGCAUCGCUUCAUGGUCUACUUGCCACUAAUCAUCAUUGUGACCUUGGGUGUAUCUCUGGGCCUGAGUUGCUCAUGGGAUGUAAUUAUCUUUAAUUCCUCUUCCAUUUCUAUGAUUUGAAGAAGAAGUACACUCAAUGUUCGAUUACCCAUGGUGGAUCUUACAUAUUCCUACAUACUCUGGGCUAACCUUCCUUCUGGAUUAUUUUUGAUAUUAUUGGGUUCAAUGCCACAAAUAUUUACUGAACACUGAUCAUGGGCUAGGGGUUGCAAAAGAGAGUAGUUAUUUCUAGUCAGUAUUACUUACAUACUUUUGUAUUCUCAGAUGCAAUUUGAUAUUGUUUGUAGCCCCAAACAAUCCAGGGAACGUGUGAUCCCAAACAAGAGCAGGGUUAGAGAGAGGGCUCGGCUUGACUCUGUGCAUCAGUAGGAGAAGUGAGACUGUUGUCGGCACUCAGAGGGAGGCACAGAGCAGAGUCCUGAGGAACACAGGCAAGUUGGAAAUACAUUUCCGUCUGAAACAGAAUUGGGGUUGAAUCAUAAGUCUUUAGAAGAUCAACACCAUACCUAUCACUGUGGAUACCUUUGGGUCCUUUAAAAAAAUUUUUUUUAACGUUUAUUUGUUAUUGAGAGAGAGAGAGAGAGACAGAGCAUGAGCAGGGGAGGGGCAGAGAGAGAGGGAGACACAGAAUCCGAAGCAGGCUCCAGGCUCUGAGCUGUCAGCCCAAAGCCGGACGUGGGGCUCAAACUCACAAACCGUGAGAUCAUGACCUCAGCCGAAGUCAGACACUUAAGCGACUGAGCCACCCAGGAAACCCACCUCUGGGUCCUUUAAGAGUGGUUGUCUCCAAGUUUGGUAACAAUUUACUAACAAUUUUCUUUGUAUGAUAUUAUAAGCACUUAAUUGGUUGAUGAACUCUUUUGGAUAAUUUUUUUUUUGUCAUAUAGCAAUUAAUGUGAUUCAUCCAAGUAAUUUUUUAGCUUGUAGUCCGUUUCUUAGCCUGUCCACAAACAGUUCUGUCAGCUGCACAGUGACCCGGAGUUCUGCAGCCCCACCUGAGUCUGGGGAAGGGGCAAAGACACUGGCUGGGCAGCUUGCUGGAGCCAGAUGCUGUCUCCUCUCUAACUACGUUGGCCAGUGUAACCCUGCACACGUGAUUGGCUCCCAGUAGUGCCUUCAAGUUAAAAUACAAGAUCCUGAGCAUGGCCUUACAGAAUCCUUCACCAGCUGACUGUUUCUCUAGCCUCAUUUCGUCUCUCACCAUGAUGCUGGCCUUGGCUUCCGGGUAUUCUGUCUGCAUUCACGUGGAACUGUCUGGGGGUUAGGGAGUUGAGACCUGGAAAGAUGAAAAGUGAUUUUCCCGAGCGCCUAGAUCAUUGUCCUCUUCAGCAUCACAGUAGCAAACAUUUGCUUGCCUAGUGCCAACUACUGAUCUGGGCACUUCCCACGUAUUACUGUUCCUGGAGAGAGGUUGGAGCUAUGGCUGCUGGACUAAGUUGAGAGAUACCACGAAAGGGAAGAGGAUCCCAAGAGAGUGUUGCAAGUUCUGACAGGUAGCAGCUUCACCUAUGGGGAGACAGGCUGGUUGUAAACCAGAAAACAGGUCAGGAACGCCUGAAAACUCUGCCCAUACAUUGUGAAGAACUUCCUGAGGAAGUUUCCUAAAUUGGACACCAAGUAUGAAGCGGACCCCUGGUGCCGGAUCUUGGUGUGCAAAAGAGGCAACUUGGACACAGAGACGGUGCAGAGAUGGCCAUGUGAAGACACAGACACACAAGGAGAAUGCCAUGUGAAGAAGGAAACGGAGGUUGGAAUGAUGUUUCUCUAAGCCAAGGAAUGCCAAGAAUUCCUGACCAUCACGAAGCUAGGACAGAGGCAUGGAGCAGAUUUCUCUCAGCGCCCUUCGAAGAGAGAGGAAGCCAGCCACACCAAGUGAGGACAGCAGAAGUUUGGGAAGCCAGUGAGGAGGCAGAACCCAGAUGGGCAGAGAAGAGAAGCCAGCAUGGGGGAAAACCGAGGAUUGACAAGAAGGAGAAGGACGGCGGGGUGCUCAGCCGUCGGUAGCCGCAAAGUUGCUAAAGCAGGAGGAGGGAAAGAAAGCAAGCACUCGAGAUUACUGCUGGAAGCUUGGCUGCUUCCCCAAGUGUGUUUUCAGCUGUGUUUCAGUCCUCCUAGCUGCACUGGGCCCCAAUUUUCCCUGGUGAAUCAUGCCUUCCCAAUUAGGACCUGUCAUUUGAAGUGUACCAGACUACCACUCAAGGUGACUAACCAAGGAACAGCCCCACACCUUCCCAUCUCCUGGAAGAAAUGCUAACAAACAAUGAAACUCUUAUAGUAGGACAUCAAUGAUACAUCUUAACCGUCUAUUAUGGGUACGAAUUAUUGUCAAGAGAUGGAGAAGUAUAUAGUCUUGUGUGCCUCUUUGUCACGUGUCAAUACUGGAAAAGAAACUGAUCAUUAUUAGAAGAAGGAAGAAAAUACAGUCAAACUCUAGGUGACUGCAGCAUUGGCUGACAGCAAGACUGAAACCUCCUGUGAGACCCUGAACUCCUGUGAGAUGCUGAACUACUCAGAAUACUGAGGAUACUUGGAUGAAGAUGCCCCAAGUUCCAGAAAAGAUCUCGUGUUUCAUUUUGACAAGAUCCUGGAGUGUUACCAACCUAGAGGCACAUUUAAUUAAAUAUAUUUGCUUUCAUGUUCCAGAGCUUCCCAGAGUGCAUGCUGAUGAAGCACCACGAGGGCUGUUUCCACUGCCUCUGUAUCUUCAAGAAGACUGGGUCGAUCCUGUUCAUCAGGGCAAUUCCUGGAGCUGGUUUCUGCAGAGGUCGUUUGUUCCCGUUGAACUACUCAGUACCACCCUAUCCCUAAGAGCCCAGGAGUCAAAGAACCUGGACACUUGAUGACUUCGCUGGCUAGAGCAAUGCCCCUAGUGCUUUGAAUGCUUUCCUUUGGCACUCACUGUUCCCAAGUGACCUGACACAAUGGCUUCCAAGAAAAGGCAACUGUGACUCUUCGGGCUUCCUGGCCUCUCUCCACCACCAGCUAUGCAUGAGCUAAUAAUGCCACUCCCUCUUCCCCCAGCAGUCUUCAACCAAAUGAUUGAGGGAAGUAGAUAAAUGAUUCAACUUCUUAACCUUUGGGAUAACUCGGAGAUACAAUCUACUCUUUUGAACUUUCGUAGUCGGACUGAACCCCAGUUACUUGCAGUCAUUACCUGCUCAAUAAUACUCCAGUUGAUGGCUUCCUUUCUUUUUCUGGCUUGUUUUGCUUCCUCAUUUCUCUGCCAACGAUAUCCCACAAAUAAACCAUAAACCUGU